rnacentral:rRNA from 1 species
UACGGGGGGGGGGUAAGCGUUGUUCGGAAUUACUGGGCGUAAAGGGCUCGUAGGCGGCCAACUAAGUCAGACGUGAAAUCCCCUCAGCUUAACUGGGGAACUGCGUCUGAUACUGGAUGGCUUGGAUUCGGGAGAGGAAUGCGGAAUUCCAGGUGUAGCGGUGAAAUGCGUAGAUAUCUGGAGGAACACCGGUGGCGAAGGCGGCAUUCUGGACCGACAUUGACGCUGAGGAGCGAAAGCCAGGGGAGCAAACGGG